GGCCCGGUGUUGCUCAACUGUCGGAGCGUGGCGUUAACACUGCCACGGUUAGGGGUUCGAUUCCCACUGGGGCCUA